GCCACUGUGGCUCAGUGGUUGAGCACUGGCCUAUGAACCAGGAGGUUAUGGUUUGAUUCCAGUCAGUGCA
rnacentral:tRNA from 1 species